ACAUGUUGCCGGUGUCGAGUUUUGUGAAGAUGCCCUGUGUCACUGCGAUAAAAUGUGCAUAGAAUAACCCGUCAAAUUAAAACAGCAAUAGAUGUUCCGAACGGUGAAAAUACGUUCGAGGAAGAUUUGCCUCAAAAGUACCAAAGCUGGAAUCAUUUUAAAAAGUGUCUCUGGUGAAGAGACGAGAGGAGCUGAGUUUUGUCACAGCCCAGCGUCUCUGUGCUCGUACGGCGAGGCGUACUUUGGAUCCGGGACUAAACUCACUGUUUUAGAGUACGACGUCAAGCCGCCGGUGGUGAAAGUGCUCGGACCGUCGUCGAGGGAGUGUCGGAACCUGAAGGACAACGAAAGGAGGAAGACCUUGCUGUGUGUGGCCAGUGAUUUCUACCCGGACCACGUCAGCGUGUCCUGGCGGGUCGGCGGACAGGAAGUCAGCAGAGGCGUGGCCACUGACAACGCUGCCCUGCGACAAGGGGAGAACUACAAAAUCACCAGCAGGCUCAGGGUCUCUGCCGAAGACUGGUUCAAACCAGAGACUGAAUUCGAGUGCAUCGUCAGCUUCUUCGAUGGGACUGGAAACACAAAUCAUUCAGCUUCAAUCUUUGGUGGAAAAGCUCCAGACGAUGUCCUGACCAGAGAAAAAUACCUGAGGAUCACACAGAAGGCCAAACUCUCCUACGGCGUGUUCAUCGUCAAGAGCAGCAUCUACGGAGCCUUUGUGGUGUUUCUGGUGUGGAAACUGCAGGGGUCGACCGGAAAGCAGAACAACUGAGAGCGGAGGAAAAUCAACUGUUGCUUCAUGUGAAUACAUUCCGUUUCUGUCACAGUCCCUUUGUGCCUGUAUAUAACUCAGCUCCUAACAUGCUGCACACAGCAGAUGAACAUGCUUAUUCGUCUUACACGUUACAUCCUGAAUGUUAAUGUGACAAGGUUGUCACCAGGUUGUUGUAGAUACUUCAGGAUUCUCUGUGUUUGUGCUGCAAAUGUCUGUGUGAUCAAUUUCUCUUCUCAAUAAAAGUAUUUCCAGACAAA